GUGUGGCUCAUUUGUCGACCAGCCGCCGCCUGGCAAGGGUCACGUUGAUUACCAGUGAGCAAAAAAUAAAUGUGUUACAGAUAUCAUUAUUCAAUCAUAAUAUAGAAAGGAUUGUUCGGGGAGUGUGGCACGUGUGGACAAGUAUUGGAUCAGAGGAGUCAAGCCAUCCAACUAUUAUGAAGCCAAAUGA